UUUACAUUUUCAAGUAAGGUUCCUCUGCCAAAUAACACACUGUACCUUAACUAUAAUAAAAAAGCAGAGACUCUGUGUUUAUAAAAACAUUGCAGGAGCAACUGUGAUCAUAUUACUUGAAUUUAUUCUAUUCGUGUGCUCAAAUAUGCAUUUUUAUAGUAAGCUCUCUAGUACACCGGUCACUUACAGGAGUAGAAAAUGACAUGUACAGACAGAAGGCUGGCAUAGCGGAACAAACCAAGCUGGUAAAGUACAGGAAUUCAGAGCCAGACCAAAAUAUGAGGUCAAGGAAGUUGCUCUUAUAAUGAUAGUGGUUAUCUGUUUAAUGUGUGAUCUGGCAGUGAUAUGAUGUUGACCAUAAGCAAUUACGCAUGUUUCUAAACUGGUGGUAUAUGAGCCCUAAGUAACUGUAUGCAAGAUAAAUAGGCUGUGAGAAAUGGGCGCUCACUCUAUUCUUGUGGUAGUUCUUGCUUAAUGUCAAUUAAAAUUACAGCUUAGUAAUAGAUAGAAAUUCUCCUCGUGUAAAGCAAUGUCUGUAUUCACUCUAUCCGUUGCCAUACACUUAAAAUCCUAUAUUGAAACCAGUUUUAUGAAGCAAACUCCUGUCUGAGCUGAUAAAUGCUGCAUAAUGUUCUUCUUAACAGACGUGGUUAGACAUGCUUUUUCUAACUCUCUGGUUAUUAUUUGAAACAGCUUUCUUUACAAUCAAGUUCUAACAUCUGUCCGUGAAUGAUGCCCUUGUUCUCUAUUUUGUCGUGCAUGAGCCUAGAAGUGAGCAGUGUCCUCAAUGUACGUUUAGCUGCCUGGCAUUGACCUUGCAGGAGUUAAAAGCAGGAAGGUCUUCGUGACACCAAACAACCCGAGCACAAAUUAGGACCUGGGAGCUGCUAUGCUGAGGCCCUGGCUCUGAAACACUUUUUUUAGGACUUUGGUGAAUUCACUGGACUGCGUAUCUUCUCAUUAGCUUUUAAUAGACUUGAAUCCCGCUGUUCUAACAGUGCCUAUGUCUUCCUCUGUAAAAUGGGAUUGUGAUGUUUUCCUGGGCUUAGGAAGAUGUGGCUGGAGUGGAAGCUGUGUGGUUAGCUGACUGCGGUAGAAACUGUGCUGAUGAGCUAUGAAGACACCCAGGAAAGCCUCUUCUCCCCAAGAGCAAGCAGUUGCGUACAAUUUGGCUCCUUCACUCAGCUGGAAACAAGGAAAAUGGCCAGGAUUACUGUGCUACUCAUCCCUCUGCAGACUAUCAGCGACAACUCCACAGACAAAGCUGGGAACCAACAGUUUCAUGCGAUAAGUAUUUGGAUGCAUUUUCAAGUAAGGCUUUUUGUAGCAUCCUAAACAGAAGGAUAUUGAAGGGAGCUGAUUCUGCUUUGAUCCUUAUGCUUGUUGUCAAAGCGCUUGGGAUUGAAGAGACUGUUGGCUACAAUUGACUGUGACAAUUAGGAGAUGAUCAGAGCCCUAGAGUGGAGCACUUAAAGGGUAAUUUACAUGUCAGUUUGUCGAAU